rnacentral:tRNA from 1 species
GCCCCCGUAGCUCAGGGGAUAGAGCGCCACCCUCCGGAGGUGGAAGCGCAGGUUCGAAUCCUGCCGGGGGCA